rnacentral:rRNA from 1 species
AGAGUUUGAUUAUGGCUCAGGACAAACGCUAACGGUGCGCCUAAUACAUGCAAGUCGAACGAGCGAUGUAGAAGUGGCAACACUUUUUCAAAGCAAGUGGCGAACGGGUGAGUAACGCGUAGGUAAUCUGCCUUGGAGAUUGGGACAACCAUUCGAAAGAAUGGCUAAUACCAAAUACCUUAUAUUAACCGCAUGAUUUUUAUAAUAAAGGGGGCUUUUAGCUCUCGCUUCAAGAUGAACCUGCGUCCUAUUAGCUAGUUGGUGAGGUAACAGCUCACCAAGGCAACGAUGGGUAGCCGGCCUGAGAGGGUGAUCGGCCACACUGGGACUGAGAUACGGCCCAGACUCCUACGGGAGGCAGCAGUAGGGAAUCUUGCGCAAUGGGCGAAAGCCUGACGCAGCGACACCGUGUGAAGGAUGAAGGCCUUCGGGUCGUAAACUUCUGUCAAUUGGGGACGAAGGUAGUAGGGUUAAUACCCCGAAUACUGACGGUACCCGAUAAGGAAGUCUCGGCUAACUCCGUGCCAGCAGCCGCGGUAAGACGGAGGAGGCAAGCGUUGUCCGGAAUCAUUGGGCGUAAAGAGCGCGUAGGCUGUUUUCUAAGUCAUAUGUGAAAACCUCAGGCUUAACUUGAGGACUGCAUGUGAAACUGGGAAACUUGAGUGCAGUAGGG